ACAAAAGCUAAGUUUUGGGUAAAGAAAACUAAUUGGGGAAAGUGAUGGAAAGAUGGCCGACUUCACCAACGUGUUGGGUGUCGAGACAAGGAUUGAUUUUUACACUGACUAGGGAAAGCAGGUCAAGAAAGAAAUUGACUGUCCGCCAUGAGGCUGUCCAAAACUCACCUCACCCCUUCUCCGCCCUCACUUACUUCACUCUGAAACAAGUCAACACGAUGUUCUAAGCAAUGGGGCGACGUUUCCAAUUUUAUGAAACCCAUUUAUCUCGUAAUUUUUUAGAAAUUUAUAACCGGAAAACUAAGUGGUGUAAUCAGGAUAUUCCAAAAGUGAGAGCUCGAGUUAUGAAAUCAUGCCGAAAUAAUAUUGCGAAAUUGGUGUUGGAUUAUUGGGACUCAUUUUAAAUUUCCGUUUCUGGCAUGAUAGAGGUCGGCGACGAACAUCACGAGCAGCAAACAGAUGAGGAACCAGAAAAAAUGCCAGGCUAAAGUAUCGAUCAGUUCGAUAGACUGCUGGGCAGAGAGGGCUGUGGUGACAAUUUUCAUCUUUGAAGUUUGCAAGAUAUUUCCGGGCGAAAAUUUAGAACUGGUGCAGGGUGCUGCCUAUUUAUCAAUGUCCAGAUUGGCACAGGAAUCACAAACAACCUAAAACGUUUUCUCGAUACUGAAAUUGUUAACGUAUAAAAAUUCUCGAUCGACGAUUUGAACAUGAUCCGAUAAAAUGAGAACUUGUUCCCUAAAGCCGAAAUGGGACCUCCAUGACGAGACGUGAUUUGAUUUCAAAGAAACAAAUUCUCACUAUUCUCAAUGGAAAGAUCAAGGAACGCAGCCAUCCUUUGCAUCGUCACAUGGGUGAGGAUAAUAUGCUC